UACGUAGGGUGCAAGCGUUAAUCGGAAUCACUGGGCGUAAAGCGCUCGUAGGCUGUUAAUUAAGUCAGAUGUGAAAUCCCUGGGCUCAAUCCAGGACGUGCAUCUGAUACUGAUUGACUAGAGUGCAGGAGAGGAAAGCGGAAUUCCAGGUGUAGAGGUGAAAUUCGUAGAUAUCUGGAGGAACAACAGAGGCGAAGGCGGCUUUCUGGACUGUCACUGACGCUGAGGAGCGAAAGCGUGGGGAGCAAACAGG
rnacentral:rRNA from 1 species